rnacentral:lncRNA from 1 species
AUUUGAAAUUUUUAUUUUAGGCUACAAAAACAAGCAAACAAACAACAAAUAACUUGAAAACAGGUCUUGUCAAAUGAUGUAAGUUCAUCCUUUCCAGGGAAGCAGAAGGCUAGGACAGUGCAGGUUAUCCUCAAGGCCACAUAUAUCCUGCUUCACUGCUGCUUGCACUCUGCUGGGUUUUGAUCCUUCUUCGGGUCAUAGUCUGGAUCAUUUUCCUCAUCUCCUUUGUCCUCUUCCUCAUCUGCUUCUUCACCUUCUUCAUCAUACUCAUCAUCAUCAUCUUCAGUAGCUUCUCCAGUAAACUAUAACACUGAUCUUGGGAUUGUAUGCUCACGUAAAAAGUGACCAAUUUUGAAGUCUGCAGCAAGGAUAGCUUCAGCAUCAUCAUCCAGAUCUCCACUCUCAGGAACUUCAGGAGGGGCAAGAAAAUUAAAGAAAGAGUCAUUGGAAACUGUUUUAGUCACAAUACGAAUUGUCCCAUGUCCCUAGUGUUUCUGCUGCUGCUUAAUGGUUUUCAAAAUGACAUUCUUUCCUUUUUUCCAAUCUAUCUGGCCCCCUGUACAACCCAUAAUUUCUUGUCCAUCAAAGGAAAAGUGAUCAGAAUCAUCUGGUUCUGGUUCUAACCUCAUCCUAUAUGUCUUUGUCAGCACUUCAUUUGUAAAAUAUUUACUGGGUUCAAAUUGAAAUUCUAAGACAAAACUCAUAGGCAGGCCAGCAUCUGAGAACUUCACUUUGGUAUCUUUCACAUGCUUCAGAAUAGGUUCAUCAUGUUUCUGAAGCAUAUCACUGAGCAAGUCAACAUUCUUAAAAACAGGUAACCAAAAUUCAGGAAUUCCUUUGGGGUCUUCUUUUUCUUCAUCGUUUUUCUCAUCUUCAGUCUUGGCCUUUUCUUUCAACUCCUCUGAAAUCUCAUCUUCUUCAUCUGGUUUCCAUUCACAUUCUUCCUCUGUAGGUUCAUAAAUUGUAUUAGUAAUCUCAGAUUGCUUAUCAAAUAGAGGCUGAUAGAGAACAGCAUACUUCCUUUCAAGAUCGUGAACUUCCUCAUAGAAUUUGGCUUCUAUCUGUGCACCUUUAACUUGCAGGUUUUUGAGAGCAUUCACUCCUCUUUUAACUACCCUAGCUAGGCAGGUUGUCA